UGUGUAGGCGGCCAUAUAAGUCGGAUGUGAAAGCCCAGGGCUCAACCCAGGAAGUGCACUCGAUACUGUAUGGCUUGAGUACUGGAGAGGUUGGUGGAAUUCUCGGUGUAGAGGUGAAAUUCGUAGAUAUCGAGAGGAACACCGGUGGCGAAGGCGGCCAACUGGACAGAUACUGACGCUGAGACACGAAAGCUGGGAGCAAACA
rnacentral:rRNA from 1 species